rnacentral:lncRNA from 1 species
GAGCAAUCAAAUCAUUUAUUUCUUAAAAUGUUUUCCACAAAACACAAUGCAUAACAUAUGCAGUCUUGAAGAAGCAGAUCAUAUCAAAAAAUGAAAAACACAACCCACAAUCUGCAAUGACAAAACAGAACAAGCAAUAUCUGAUUGCUGCCCAACAACAAUUAGCCAUCAAAUUAAUUACCCAACAAUUGACAAUUAACAAUUAACAUGCAGGCAAUGACAUAAUUAGUUAAUUAAUUAAUUGCCACCGAAGCCCUUAAGCAAAGAAAAGAAACGACGACGUAGGUAGGUAGGAAGAAUUGAAUUGAUGAGUUUCAGUUGUAGUAGAGUUCGAGGCCCAUGCCGUCGUGGAUUUCGUAAUCCUUGAGAGUGAUGUGAUCCUUGUAAAUGUUGUACCACUUUUGGAUUCGGAUCUUAUCGGCUCGGGUCCCCGUCUGGGCCGCCACCAGCUUCUUCAGGUCGCCUAUGGUGUCGUCCUCGUUGCAUUUCACCCGAACCUUCUUUCCCAGCCUGUCGUUCAGCACCACCUCGAUCAUCUUCUUCUCCUUCUUCUUCUGCAAGGUUUCAAGCCCUAAGGCCCCUGACCCCUAUCCCGAGUUUCUCUGGAUUCGUUGUCUACGGACUUGCAGAGGCGCAAAAUACUUGUAAUACCAUAUUCACGUCAGCACAGCAGGCCCUUCUUGUAUUGGAUUACAG